rnacentral:rRNA from 1 species
AACGAACGCUGGCGGCAUGCCUAACACAUGCAAGUCGAACGAGACCUUCGGGACUAUUGUCGCACGGGGUCGUAGCGCGUGGGAACCUGCCCUUAGGGUCGGAAUAACUCCCCGAAAGGGAUGCUAAUACCGAAUAAUGUCUUCUGACGAAAGAUUUAUUGCGUUGGGAUGGUCCCUCGUGGGAUUAGGUUGUUGGUAGGGUAAAAGCCUACCAAGGCGACGAUCCAUAGCUGGGCUGAGAGGAUGAUUAGCCACACUGGGACUGAGACACGGCCCAGACUCCUACGGGAGGCAGCAGUGGGGAAUAUUGGAACAUGGGCGAAAGCAUGAUCCAGCAAUGACGCGUGAGUGAUGAAAGCAUUAGGGUUGUAAAGCUCUUUUACCCGGGAUGAUAAUGACAGUACCGGGAGAAUAAGCCCCGGCUAACUACGUG